UACGUAUGGUGCAAGCGUUGUUCGGAAUCAUUGGGCGUAAAGGGUAUGUAGGCGGAAUUGUAAGUCAGGUGUGAAACCUAUGGGCUUAACCCAUAGCCUGCACUUGAUACUGCGGUUCUAGAGUUUGGGAGAGGUAAGCGGAAUUCCUGGUGUAGCGGUGAAAUGCGUAGAUAUCAGGAGGAACACCGGUGGCGAAAGCGGCUUACUAGCCUAAAACUGACGCUGAGAUACGAAAGUGUGGGGAGGAAACAGG
rnacentral:rRNA from 1 species